rnacentral:rRNA from 1 species
UNUNACNNCCAUUCCUAUGGCCCUUAUAGGUGGGGCUACACACGUCAUACAAUGGCUGGUACAGAGGGUUGCCAACCCGCGAGGGGGAGCCAAUCCCAUAAAGCCAGUCGUAGUCCGGAUCGCAGUCUGCAACUCGACUGCGUGAAGUCGGAAUCGCUAGUAAUCGCGGAUCAGAAUGUCGCGGUGAAUACGUUCCCGGGUCUUGUACACACCGCCCGUCACACCAUGGGAGCGGGUUCUGCCAGAAGUAGUUAGCCUAACCGCAAGGAGGGCGAUUACCACGGCAGGGUUCGUGACUGGGGUGAAGUCGUAACAAGGUAGCCGUAUCGGAAGGUGCGGUUGGAUCACA